GUUGUAGCUCAGUGGUAGAGCAUGCUUGCCUUGCAUGCAUGGGGCCCUGGGUUCGAUCCUCAGCAUCACA
rnacentral:tRNA from 1 species